CAAAAGAUCUUCCAAAGUCAAAGAAACUCAUUUUUAUAGCAAUUGAAUUGUGGAAAUGGGCUCAUGUUCAUGGAAUUUACUGGUCUUGCCAUGUUGCCAAUCACCCUGAAGCAGCUAGCCUGACAGAAUAAUGGAUUGGCCACUUGACGUAUUAGUUACAGCACCAAAUGCAUGACAACACCUUGCAGAUUUGGAGUAAUGCCCUCCAGGAUGUGGUUGGUCCCUAAACAAGAACAAUAACCACAUCAACAUAGUGAAGGAAAGUCUACAGUUUUGGCCCUAUGGAUAACUUGAAUUACUGUCAUCAUGGCCACUUCGUUCAAGAGCCCGUUCAGCAAGCGACCAGGGAGGAGGAGACAGUGUCUCGAAAAUUAGGAUCAUAGAAGUAAUUGAGCCACUUCCAGAAACACUACCAGAAUGAGAGAGAAUGCAAGAGAGAGAGAAAAAGAGAAGUAGAAAAGAGGAUGGCUUCUCCCCUCAUUGUGCUUCUCAUAUCUGCUGUCUCUUAAAAGAACCAAAGAAUCAUGGGAAAUAGAGUUUGCAAGUUCUCAGCCCCAGCAUCACAUAACAGUUAUCAAAGGGUAUGUAGGAAUUAAAAAAGACAGUAGAAUUACAUAACAUUGUAACCACCUCUCCCUACUCCCAAGAAAUACAAAACACAAAGAAAUGGGAUGAGGCAUAGGACUUCAGAGAUUAUCACUGCAACUGGAAAUCAUUCAAUGUUUUAUAGUUGUAUCACCAAACAUUACCAGGUAUUUAUAGGUGGCCUCAAUUUCACUACUAUUUUUUCACGUAAUCAUGUCAUUUUCACCCUUUAAAAUUAAUAUUUGAAGAUUUCAAAAUAAAUUUGAUCAAGAAUUUUGUCUUCACACCAAAGGCCAGGGUAAAUUGCCACCAAAGAACAAUUCAGGUAAUACGAGCAUAUAGAGAAUUCUCCUAAGAGAAGAAAGAGAAACACAGUUGCCAAUCAGGUUGUCAGGCCACUUUAAUUGAUUUAAGAUUACAAAACAUUUCCAGGAUGCAUAGUGGGGACAUUUCAGUCCCAAAAACUACUUUUAUUUUCUACCUCUGUGUCCAUCUAAAUGAUACUGGAUCUGGAGUGCUCUGAGGUAUAGCUUGAUUGAAGUUUAAUUAUUUCACACAUGUUACAGCUGUGGUUUUGGUAGAUAUAAACAGAACAGCAUUCCACUGACAACCAGAUAGGUUUUGUGAAUGAAAACUGAUUAUAUAUACACUGCAGUUUAUCAAGCACAAUGGGUCAUCUUGCCCUAGUAAGUACAGUAUGUAAAAUUCAAGCUUAUGGAGAAAGAUAGCAAUAUCUUGUGUUUGGACAAUGCAACACAUUUCCAGACAUUCAUGAUUCUUCAGCUGAUUGUCUCUGACUAUCUCUGUCAGCCUGGACAAGUUAUUUAAACUUUCAGAGUCCUGAUACUUUAUCUGUAAAAUGGGAUAAUUAAACAGACUUUAAAGAUGUUCAGAUGAAAGGAAUGAUAUAAGUGGAAACUAAUCUACUUGUCUUUAGGAAGCAAGUCCUAAUCUACUCAUGAAAGUGAGUGGUACUGCAAAAACAAUGGUCAAAGGAAAAAGACACUUAGGGAGA
rnacentral:lncRNA from 10 species